GACCGAGUGGGUAUGACACUAGCCUAGCACGCUGGAGAUCCCGGGUUCGAUUCCCGGCGGGGUCG
rnacentral:tRNA from 1 species